rnacentral:rRNA from 1 species
GUAUGCCCGUUCGGGCACCCGGACCCGAUGCCGAACUCAGAAGUGAAACGCCGUAGCGCCGAUGGUAGUGUGGGGUCUCCCCAUGCGAGAGUAGGGAACU